rfam:Hypholoma sublateritium FD-334 SS-4 unplaced genomic scaffold scaffold_62, whole genome shotgun sequence.
GGUCCCCUGGCUCAGUGGUAGAGCGUAGGAUUCCAGCUAGGAAGCACCCUAAGGUCAUCUGUUCAAUCCAGGUGGGGAUCA